rnacentral:rRNA from 1 species
AUUGAACGCUGGCGGCAGGCUUAACACAUGCAAGUCGAGCGGAGCGAGGGUGCUUGCACCUUAGCUUAGCGGCGGACGGGUGAGUAAUGCUUAGGAAUCUGCCUAUUAGUGGGGGACAACAUUCCGAAAGGAAUGCUAAUACCGCAUACGCCCUACGGGGGAAAGCAGGGGAUCUUCGGACCUUGCGCUAAUAGAUGAGACUAAGUCGGAUUAGCUAGUUGGUGGGGUAAAGGCCUACCAAGGCGACGAUCUGUAGCGGGUCUGAGAGGAUGAUCCGCCACAGUGGGACUGAGACACGGCCCAGACUCCUACGGGGGGCAGCAGUGGGGACUAUUGGACGAUGGGCGGAAGCCUGAUCCAGCCAUGCCGCGUGUGUGAAGAAGGCCUUUUGGUUGUAAAGCACUUUAAGCGAGGAGGAGGCUACUUAGAUUAAUACUCUGGGAUAGUGGACGUUACUCGCAGAAUAAGCACCGGCUAACUCUGUGCCAGCCGCCGCCGUAA